CCUUAGGCAAAUCCGGGAUCACUUACGCCGAGCACCGAGACGAGUCCUAUGAGGACGAAGUGACUGACACCACGCUUCCAGGAAAAGCCACUAAGCUUCAGCUUAAGAAAAACCGUACCGCAAACCGACACAGGUAGGCAGGGUGAGAAUCCCAAGGCGCUUGAGAGAACUCGGGUGAAGGAACUAGGCAAAAUGGCACCGUAACUUCGGGAGAAGGUGCGCCCUUUGGUGUGGUCACGUGCGUGACUGAGCAUCGAAGGGUCGCAGUAACCUGGCCGCUGCGACUGUUUAUCAAAAACACAGCACUCUGCAAACACGAAAGUGGACGUAUAGGGUGUGACGCCUGCCCGGUGCUGGAAGGUUAAUUGAUGGGGUCAGCCGCAAGGCGAAGCUCUUGAUCGAAGCCCCAGUAAACGGCGGCCGUAACAAUAACGGUCCUAAGGUAGCGAAAUUCCUUGUCGGGUAAGUUCCGACCUGCACGAAUGGCGUAACGACAGCGGCGCUGUCUCCACCCGAGACUCAGUGAAAUUGAAAUCGCUGUGAAGAUGCAGCGUUCCCGCGGCAAGACGGAAAGACCCCGUGAACCUUUACUAUAGCUUUACACUGAACGUUGAGUUCUUCUGUGUAGGAUAGGUGGGAGGCUAUGAAACCAGGACGCUAGUUCUGGUGGAGCCAUCCUUGAAAUACCACCCUGAAGUGCUUGACGUUCUAACCUAGGCCCGUAAUCCGGGUCAGGGACCGUGUAUGGUGGGUAGUUUGACUGGGGCGGUCUCCUCCCAAAGAGUAACGGAGGAGCACGAAGGUACGCUCAGCGCGGUCGGACAUCGCGCACUGUGUGCAAAGGCAUAAGCGUGCUUGACUGCGAGAUCGACGGAUCAAGCAGGUACGAAAGUAGGUCUUAGUGAUCCGGUGGUUCUGUAUGGAAGGGCCAUCGCUCAACGGAUAAAAGGUACUCCGGGGAUAACAGGCUGAUACCGCCCAAGAGUUCAUAUCGACGGCGGUGUUUGGCACCUCGAUGUCGGCUCAUCACAUCCUGGGGCUGUAGCCGGUCCCAAGGGUAUGGCUGUUCGCCAUUUAAAGUGGUACGCGAGCUGGGUUCAGAACGUCGUGAGACAGUUCGGUCCCUAUCUGUCGUGGGCGUUGGAGAUUUGAGGGGGGCUGCUCCUAGUACGAGAGGACCGGAGUGGACGUUCCGCUGGUGUUCGGGUUGUCAUGCCCAUGGCAUUGCCCGGUAGCUACGAACGGAAGUGAUAACCGCUGAAAGCAUCUAAGCGGGAAGCACGCCCCAAGAUGAGAUCUCCCGAGAGCUUGACUCUCCUAAAGGCACCAUCAAGACUAGGUGGUUGAUAGGUCAGGUGUGGAAGCGCAGCAAUGCGUUGAGCUAACUGAUACUAAUGGGCCGUGAGGCUUGACCA
rnacentral:rRNA from 1 species